ensembl:lncRNA
AUGUUCAGAGGGAGAUGAUGCCACAUCUGGUCCAGCUGAUGGAAGGUCUUGAAGUUCUCUGACUGGCCUCGACUGAAGAUGGUCGUCUCACUGGAUUUAAGAUGCACAAUGAGGGACGUCUACAGAGACUGAGAAAGAGUCUCACCACAUCCUGACAUGAGGAAAAAGACUUUAUUGAAGACUACAAUGAGAAAAACUAUCAGACAGCAGACGGCUGCAUUCAAGGCUACAGGAGGAGCCCUACGAGGACGAGCCGGUCCACCUGAUGGCGGCCAGUCGCUGCGGUUCAAAGCCAACACCGACUACAUGGACUUCUACUGGACCACACGGAGGCCUUCAAACCGGACCAACAAGUUCAGCGACUCCCCGACUCGUGGGUCUGAGGACGCCGCCGAGCCUCGGUCCAGCCGGCCUCCUGUCUGUGGGUGUUUGAGUGCUGAGAGGUUUGUGGAUGCAUGUGAACAUGUCUGUG